ensembl:lncRNA
CAAGGGGAAGCUGAAUCAAGGGAAAUUUAUUUUCAGAACGGGACAGAAAGCAUCCACAGUAUUAGUUGGUAAGGAAGAGAAAACAUAAGUUCUGAAGGUUAGAGAGAAGAGACAGUCCAAUGAAACUUCUGCAGAGGUGAGGGGACAGGAGCUCAGGUCGAGGUGUGUUUCUGAAGGGACUCGGAGAUGUGAGAGAACUCACUAAGGAAAGGUGAUGAUGGAUGAGGCAUGGGGUGAGCUCAUCUGAACCAAGAGUUGCCUCACAGCAAAUGAGAUCUUCUGAUGAGUUGGGAUUUUCCACAGUCCCAACUACAGCACAUUCAGGGUCUUAUGGAAUCUUUCUCAUCGGGACUUCCUGGGAAGAUGGGAACAAAUGCCUAUUCACGUCAGAUAGGGCCCGGAUGACAGACAAGAGAGCCUCUUCCACUGUAAACUCCACGAGAGCAAGACUUUUAUUUCUUAUUGUCUGUAGAAGCCUUAAUAUCUAUUUACUGUCUGAAUGAAUGAUGCAUCACAGACCAUUGGAGCUGGCAGGGGCCUUCUUUUGUUUGCAUCACGUAAAGGUAUUCCUUGGAGACACCUGGAGGAUCUUGAGGAGGGAUGAUGUCAGUAAUGGUCUGAUGUAUAUCUAGCGCCUUCCAGUUUACAGAACAAUUUGAACACCACACCGGACCUAUGGGAAGUGGAGAAGACAUAGUUAUUUCCAUUCAACGCACAAGCAAAGUGGAAAGAUGCUCAAGAAGUGUUUAGGGGACUGAUGUCAUACAGAAGAGUCCAGCUUCUCAGUCCAUGGGCUGGCAGAGCACUUUAUAACAAGAUGGUUCAUUAUGUCAACCCCACCCAGCAGCAUAAGCUUCUGGUGGUCUGCGUGAGGACCUGUCACCAGAACAUACGGCCAAGUUAAGACUGACCAUUCUUCACAGUGGGAAAAGACGUUGGGAGGCAAUAGGGACAAACGGGUGUGCAGCUCAGGGGAGAGAGACAGAGGCAGGAAGGGAGAUGGGAAGUACAAGCACAGAGGUGUUGAGUAGUCUUCAUUUAUCAGACCUCAGCACCUCUCGCUCACCCCAGAGGGCAGUGGGAGCAACGCCUGCAUGCCCGCUACAUUCCCAAUGCCUCUGAACCUCAGCUCAGAGGAUAGAGCUCACUGUGAAAACCAGCUGCCAGGCUGCUGUCUCCAGGUCUCCCUGGCUCUGCAGUCCCUGUCCUCUCGGAAAUACUGAGCUCAGGAGGAAGGAAUUCCCUCGGUACCUCUGUUGUUCCCUUCUCUUGUUUCCUAAGAGAACCUAGUAUUUCAGUGACUCUGCUUCCAAAGAGCUCCACUUUGAUGCCAGUAUCCUGCCAGAAAUUCUUCUGCACGUAUCUUUAAUCAUGUGGCAAAUUACCUUAUUAAUCACCAGGGACUCCAGUCUCAUUACUUAAUUAAACCAUCUCUUCUUGUGCUUCUUAUUAAAACCACGUGAGUUUUUAACUUCUGUGUGGGUUUUCUUUCCCCUCUCUUCGAGUGUCUGUAGAAUAUGAACUGUACAGAAGAAGGCCGGUUAUUUUGUGUGGCUGACUAAAGGGUUACAACAUUAAAUAAACAGGGAGGUCAGGCACUGUCUGGAUAGGCC